ACCCGGCUGGCUCAGUCAGUAGAGCACGUGACUCCUGAUCUCAGGGUUGUGAGUUCAAGUCCCACGAUGGGUG
rnacentral:tRNA from 1 species